rnacentral:rRNA from 1 species
AUUGAACGCUGGCGGCAUGCCUUACACAUGCAAGUCGAACGGUAACAGGUCUUCGGAUGCUGACGAGCGGCGAACGGGUGAGUAAUACAUCGGAACGUGCCCGAGAGUGGGGGAUAACGAGGCGAAAGCUUUGCUAAUACCGCAUACGAUCUCAGGAUGAAAGCAGGGGACCGCAAGGCCUUGCGCUCACGGAGCGGCCGAUGGCAGAUUAGGUAGUUGGUGGGAUAAAAGCUUACCAAGCCGACGAUCUGUAGCUGGUCUGAGAGGACGACCAGCAACACUGGGACUGAGACACGGCCCAGACUACUACGGGAGGCAGCAGUGGGGAAUUUUGGACAAUGGGCGCAAGCCUGAUCCAGCCAUGCCGCGUGCAGGAUGAAGGCCUUCGGGUUGUAAACUGCUUUUGUACGGAACGAAAAGACUCUGGUUAAUACCUGGGGUCCAUGACGGUACCGUAAGAAUAAGCACCGGCUAACUACGUGCCAGCCGCCGCAGUAAAAC